rnacentral:rRNA from 1 species
AGGACGAACGUUGGCGGCGUGCCUAACACAUGCAAGUCGAACGUGGCUUAAGUUUACUUAAGUCUAGUGGCGGACGGCAGAGUAAUGCACAGGAACGUACCUCGAGGUGAGGGAUAGCCCUUCGAAAGAAGGGGUAAUACCACAUGUGCUCGCAAGAGCAAAGCCGCAAGGCGCCAUGAGAACGGCCUGUGUCCUAUCAGGUAGUUGGUGAGGUAAAGGCUCACCAAGCCUAUGACGGGUAGCUGGUCUGAGAGGAUGAUCAGCCUGAUCGGGACUGAGACACGGCCCGAACUCCUACGGGAGGCAGCAGUUGGGAAUUUUGCACAAUGGACGAAAGUCUGAUGCAGCGACGCCGCGUGGAGGAUGAAGGUCUUCGGAUCGUAAACUCCUUUUACUUGGGAAUAAUUUAAUGAAGGUACCAAGUGAAUAAGCACCGGCUAACUCCGCGCCAGCAGCCGC